rnacentral:rRNA from 1 species
GCUAUACAUGCAGUCCGAAGCCGGACAGAAGGGGAAGCUUGCUUCCCUGAUGUUAGCGGCGGACGGGUGAGUAACACGUGGGUAACCUGCCUGUAAGAGUGGGAUAACUCCGGGAAACCGGGGCUAAUACCGGAUGGUUGUUUGAACCGCAUGGUUCAAACAUAAAAGGUGGCUUCGGCUACCACUUACAGAUGGACCCGCGGCGCAUUAGCUAGUUGGUGAGGUAACGGCUCACCAAGGCAACGAUGCGUAGCCGACCUGAGAGGGUGAUCGGCCACACUGGGACUGAGACACGGCCCAGACUCCUACGGGAGGCAGCAGUAGGGAAUCUUCCGCAAUGGACGAAAGUCUGACGGAGCAACGCCGCGUGAGUGAUGAAGGUUUUCGGAUCGUAAAGCUCUGUUGUUAGGGAAGAACAAGUACCGUUCGAAUAGGGCGGUACCUUGACGGUACCUAACCAGAAAGCCACGGCUAACUACGUGCCAGCAGCCGCGGUAAUACGUAGGUGGCAAGCGUUGUCCGGAAUUAUUGGGCGUAAAGGGCUCGCAGGCGGUUUCUUAAGUCUGAUGUGAAAGCCCCCGGCUCAACCGGGGAGGGUCAUUGGAAACUGGGGAACUUGAGUGCAGAAGAGGAGAGUGGAAUUCCACGUGUAGCGGUGAAAUGCGUAGAGAUGUGGAGGAACACCAGUGGCGAAGGCGACUCUCUGGUCUGUAACUGACGCUGAGGAGCGAAAGCGUGGGGAGCGAACAGGAUUAGAUACCCUGGUAGUCCACGCCGUAAACGAUGAGUGCUAAGUGUUAGGGGGUUUCCGCCCCUUAGUGCUGCAGCUAACGCAUUAAGCACUCCGCCUGGGGAGUACGGUCGCAAGACUGAAACUCAGAGAAGAUGUUGACGGGAA